CCCACGGUUUCAGAAAGGUGGCUGGGUAGUCCACCCCAUCAAGGAGAAACCAUCUUACGGAUACGCAACAAAUCUUAUGGUCUCUCUGGUAGAGGAAUACUGCAAGUCACCACAGGCCCUACAAGAAAGCAGUGCCGUCUUGUCCUCUGCUGCACCGCCCCCCCUCACCUCUUCCGUCCAGAAGGUUGCCAAGGAUGAGGCAGUCAGCCUCCAUCUCGCACGACACUCACGUUUUAACAUGUAAUAAAAGAUCAAUUUUACCAGUA